CUAAUACCGGAUAAGAAAGACGGAUCGCAUGAUCAGCUUUUAAAAGGACGGCGUAAGCUGUCGCUAUGGGAUGGCCCCGCGGUGCAUUAGCUAGUUGGUAAGGUAAAGGCUUACCAAGGCGAUGAUGCAUAGCCGAGUUGAGAGACUGAUCGGCCACAUUGGGACUGAGACACGGCCCAAACUCCUACGGGAGGCAGCAGCC
rnacentral:rRNA from 1 species